UGAGCAAUGAGUCUUGCUUCUCUUUCACUUCCUGGGGCUUCUCUCAGCUCCACAUGGGGCAAAGGGCAGGGAGAACCCUGCUCAGUUCUGUCUAGCCCGACUGGGACGUGGAAAGGCUAAUCCGAGCCCCACUUCUGCCACUCAGUUGCUGGGCCUCAGUUUCCCUGGCUGUACGGAGAAGGAGAAAACAAGAUGGAACCCAGUGACUGGCCACCAUGGACACAUGCAAGGGAGAAGGAGAAGUCCCCAGUAGGAAAAUGAAAGGCAUGCAGCAAGAAGCUCAAAAUCUACAAGCCAAGAAGAGAGCCCUCACCAGAAACGGAAACAGCUGGCACCUUGAUCUUGGACUUCCCAGG
rnacentral:lncRNA from 1 species